GCUUUUGGCGAGCUCGACCCGAACGAGAAGCUCGUCCGAAAGCAUCGCGCCGCCAGAAGAUAUGCUUUUCCUUUUCUACACACACGUGCGAGAACGGAGCAGCGGUCUCUCGCGCGUGUGAGAGAGCGAGCGAGAGUGUAAGCGAAAGGGGAGUUUUGAGCAGCGCGCACAAACCGAAGAAAGGGAAAUGUAUCCCGGGAAACAGGAUCGAGCGGAGCACGUUCGCGAUGCGCUGGGGUGUUUGAGAGUGUAUUCAUUUGUUUUGACGCGUACAGGUGUGUAUGUGGAGAACAAAAAGCAAACGGACCCACCACCACACUCAAUGGACAUGUGUUGCUUCAUCUCUGACGGGCGCCUGUUGCUAAUUGUACCUUGUGUAUCUGUCUUCUUGUUUGCUUCAUUCGUUUUUCUUUUGUGUUGCCCUUUUGCUUGCAUCUCACUCCUCCGUGCAAUUGUGUUCGAGUGUGUAUGUGUGGCAGGAGGAAGGAGCAGCAAAGUGGCGGGGAGUGGGGGAGGCAUCUUCUAGGAAGCAGUGCAGCAGAUUUUCCACCCACCGACAGCCCUUCUUCGACGAACGCUUUCUUCGUAUAGUGCAUGCAUCUGACAUCCUAUGACACAGCCUGUUGGAGAACGAUUGCAACCCGCGUUCCGCUGUACCUUCGUCUUGAGACUGAAACCAGUACAGAAUACGCUUUGGACCUGGCCCGGGGAAGUGAGAAGAGUCAUACAGGCCAACGGAAAGUAUCGUCGUGUUCCAGCUGCUGCGGGCCGGAUAUUCUGUACACUUUUAAACAGAGAUCUCUGUGUUGUCACUAUCUUAACCCUUACGUUUCUAGCUGCCAACGGUAGCCCGGAAGCCACACUAAAUGUUGCAGUUGAGUGAAUUUGUUUGAAAAAAUAUACUUAAAAACAUGUAAA